UUGGAGCUGCUGUGGAGGGACCUGUUCUUCCAGCCAGCGCUGUGCGGGCAGGAAAAUGGCGCUGGAACGCUGCUGGGUCCACUCUGAGGAGAAGCUCUGCCCCCUUAAUGGUGCUGUCUUCCCGGUCUUCAUAGAUUAUACUGGCUUGAGCAGAGGGAAAAUCCUAUACUCAUGGGAACAACAGGCAGUGUUAGUAUAUAACGGGAGCAAUGGAAGGAGAAUGCCACGGACAGUGAGUGGAACGAGCAGGCUCCUCCAACAGUCCAUAAAGUGAGAACAGGCUGCUCUCAAAUACAGUAGAAACUGAUCAAGAGCAUGGUUUGUGUAGCAAACAAUCAAUAUUGGACUUUGCCUGUGAUUCCAGAGGUUGGAGUUAGCAAGGAGAGCAUGCACAAUUUUCAGUCCAACAUAGGUUUUACCUGUAAGAAAAAUGGUAGAUAAAAUAAAACUUUACAAUUGGAA